rnacentral:rRNA from 1 species
AUUGAACGCUGGCGGCAUGCCUUACACAUGCAAGUCGAACGGCAGCACGGGAGCAAUCCUGGUGGCGGGUGGCGAACGGGUGAGUAAAGUAUCGGAACGUGCCCAGUCGUGGGGGAUAACGUAGCGAAAGUUACGCUAAUACCGCAUACGAUCUAUGGAUGACGUCGGGGGAUCGCAAGACCUCGCUCGAUUGGAGCGGCCGAUACCAGAUUAGGUAGUGGGUGGGGUAAAGGCUCACCAAGCCGACGAUCUGUAGCUGGUCGGAGAGGACGACCAGCCACACUGGGACUGAGACACGGCCCAGACUCCUCCGGGAGGCAGCAGUGGGGAAUUUUGGACAAUGGGCGAAAGCCUGAUCCAGCCAUGCCGCGUGCAGGAUGAAGGCCUUCGGGUUGUAAACUGCUUUUGUACGGAACGAAAAGGUUUGGCCUAAUAAGCUGAGCUCAUGACGGUACCGUAAGAAUAAGCACCGGCUAACUACGUGCCAGCCGCCGCCGUAA